AUUGAACGCUGGCGGCACGCCUAACACAUGCAAGUCGAACGAGUGGCGGACGGGUGAGUAAUGUCUGGGAAACUGCCUGAUGGCGGGGGAUAACUACUGGAAACGGUAGCUAAUACCGCAUACCAUCGGAUGUGCCCAGAUGGGAUUAGCUAGUAGGUGGGGUAAAGGCACACCGAGGCGACGAUCACUAGCUGGUCUGAGAGGAUAACCAGCAACACUGGAACUGAGACACUGUCCAGACGCCUACGGGAGGCAGCAGUGGUGAAUAUUGCACAAUGGGCGCAAGCCUGAUGCAGCCAUGCCGCGUGUAUGAAGAAGGCCUUCGGGUUGUAAAGUACUUUCAGCGGGGAGGCGUUACCCGCAGAAGAAGCACCGGCUAACUCCGUGCCAGCAGCCGCGGUAAUUC
rnacentral:rRNA from 1 species